AUGAUCUCCCAGAAGUGUGAGAGGCAUCCCUACCGGGCGGGCCUUGAUUCACCCCUUACUAUAACCAUCCCACUCAAUCUUUUACACCGAUGUUUCGUACUCUCUCGACCAGGUCAUCAUAAGAAAAUCUGA
rnacentral:rRNA from 1 species